rnacentral:tRNA from 1 species
CAACCUCGUAGCUCAGUAGGAAUCAGAGCGCCGCACUACGAAUGCGGAGGUCGCAGGUUCGAAUCCUGCCGGAGUUAU